GAAUUCGCCCUUAGAGUUUGAUCCUGGCUCAGGAUGAACGCUGGCGGCGUGCUUAACACAUGCAAGUCGAACGAGAACUUGAGAGACUGAUUCUUCGGAUGAAGUCCCUUGAGGGAAAGUGGCGGACGGGCGAGUAACACGUGAGCAACCUACCCUUUACAGUGGAAUAACAAUCGGAAACGAUUGCUAAUACCGCAUAACAUAUACCUUAGGCAUCUUCGGUAUAUCAAAGAUUUAUCGGUAAUGGAUGGGCUCGCGUCUGAUUAGUUAGUUGGUGAGGUAAUGGCUCACCAAGACCGCGAUGGGUAGCCGGCCUGAGAGGGUGAACGGCCACACUGGAACUGAGACACGGUCCAGACUCCUACGGGAGGCAGCAGUGGGGAAUCUUGCACAAUGGGCGAAAGCCUGAUGCAGCGACGCCGCGUGAAUGAUGAAGGCCUUCGGGUCGUAAAAUUCUGUCCUAAGGGAAGAUAAUGACGGUACCUUAGGAGGAAGCACCGGCUAACUACGUGCCAGCAGCCGCGGUAAUACGUAGGGUGCAAGCGUUGUCCGGAAUUACUGGGCGUAAAGGGUUCGCAGGCGGCCUUUUAAGUCAGGCGUUAAAGAUCAUGGCUCAACCAUGGUAUGCGCUUGAAACUGAAAGGCUUGAGUCAAGGAGAGGAAAGUGGAAUUCCUAGUGUAGCGGUGAAAUGCGUAGAUAUUAGGAGGAAUACCAGUGGCGAAGGCGACUUACUGGUCUGUAAUUGACGCUGAGGCUCGAAAGCGUGGGUUAGCAAACAGGAUUAGAUUCCCCUGGUAAGUCCCCGCCGUAAACG
rnacentral:rRNA from 1 species